rnacentral:rRNA from 1 species
UACGUAGGGUGCAAGCGUUAAUCGGAAUUACUGGGCGUAAAGCGUGCGCAGGCGGUUGUGUAAGACAGAUGUGAAAUCCCCCGGGCUCAACCUGGGAACUGCAUUUGUGACUGCACGGCUGGAGUGCGGCAGAGGGGGAUGGAAUUCCGCGUGUAGCAGUGAAAUGCGUAGAUAUGCGGAGGAACACCGAUGGCGAAGGCAAUCCCCUGGGCCUGCACUGACGCUCAUGCACGAAAGCGUGGGGAGCAAACAGG